CAGGCCUAACACAUGCAAGUCGAGCGCCCCGCAAGGGGACCGGCAGACGGGUGAGUAACGCGUGGGAAUCUACCUAGCUCUACGGAAUAACCCAGGGAAACUUGGACUAAUACCGUAUACGCCCUUCGGGGGAAAGAUUUAUCGGAGUUGGAUGAGCCCGCGUUGGAUUAGCUAGUUGGUGGGGUAAUGGCCUACCAAGGCGACGAUCCAUAGCUGGUCUGAGAGGAUGAUCAGCCACACUGGGACUGAGACACGGCCCAGACUCCUACGGGAGGCAGCAGUGGGGAAUAUUGGACAAUGGGCGAAAGCCUGAUCCAGCCAUGCCGCGUGAGUGAUGAAGGCCCUAGGGAUGUAAAGCUCUUUCACCGGUGAAGAUAAUGACGGUAACCGGAGAAGAAGCCCCGGCUAACUUCGUGCCAGCAGCCGCGGUAAU
rnacentral:rRNA from 1 species